GAUUUCAACUGAAAAAGCCAUCAACAACAAAGUUGUAAAACUCAUCAAUAUAUAUAACUUUUAUUUUGGUCAUUUCUUCAUCGGACAAAGUGAUAGGAAUAUUACUUACAAAAUUUACAUAUCUCUUAUAUGGUUUUAUAAGAUAUAAGAGAGAGAUAUAAAUUUUGUGAACAAUGUUCUAUCACUUUUUCAAAUUAAGAAAUNACCAAAAUAAAAGUUAUAGAUAUUGAUGAGUUAUACAAUUUUGUUGUUGAUGACUUUUUAAUUUGAAAUC
rnacentral:pre_miRNA from 1 species